rnacentral:ncRNA from 1 species
CAACAAACCGGGCAAACCGUUCGAAAGAUCGGGACGCAAAGCUAUGGGCCUAAGGUUAUUAAGCUAAGGUCGCCUGGCUGCUGAA